rnacentral:misc_RNA from 1 species
UUGCACGUUGCGAGAAUUCUGUGCAGCUUUGCAUCUUUAAAUGACACAUAGAGUCCAAGUUACAUGGUUACAUGACUGUAGCUCCUUUUUGCUAUGGAAUGUUCCACAAAUUAGGAUAAUGGGGUUUGGAAGAAGUUGCGACGAUCAGGACAUGUUUGGAAUUUUAGAAUCCAAUUUACAUGAUGUUUGGUGUGGCUGAUUUGCGUCGUUAAAUAUUUCACAAACUGGAGAUGUUAGUGCGAAUUUUCAGGAAAUUGACGUAAUUAAGAGAUAUGGGAGUUGGUAGAGGAUAUUGGACAUUAGUCUAUUGCUGCUUAUUGCUGUGCAACUUUUGACAAGUUGAGAUUAUUAAUGUCAUCAAUGUCGCUUCUAUCAAUGAAUCGUAAGAAAAUUGGAUGUGAGGUAGUAGAACUCUUGUUUCAUGGCUGCUUCUGUUACCGCCUGAUAAGUAGUCUAAUAGAUCUUAUUCUAUGACUAUUUAUAUUGUAAUCUGACAAGAAAGUAUUAAUAAGGAAAUUAAGACGAAACUUGAUGCUAUACGAAGAAGAACAAUGUAAAAGAAUUUUAUAUGAACAAACGAUAUGAAAGAAACACAUAUUUCGAACAAUCUUGCUCUUUGUACCUGAUCCUCGCUAGGAUCAUCGUCUCUAACUAAAAUCUAGGUCAGUUACAUUGAAAAAGUUGUAAUACAAAUGACAAAAAAAAAGAACAAAUUCCUUUUUCUUUAAAGAACCAUCUUUUUCUGCAAAUAUCCAUUUUGCUAGGAAUAAUUUGGUGUCUAACGAUAGAUGGUGUGUAAAAGAUGCUGCAAACAUUGAGAUAACAAUCGGCAUACUUCGGAAACGUAAUAUUUACGGCAGGAGAAAGAGAGAUAUUCGCCACGGGAACGUUAGAGAAAUAUACAAGAAGAUGGGCCACGAUUUUGUAACACCGUAGUAACGGCGUGGAUUUUUAGAAAGAAACCGGAACGCAGCGAGAAUAUAUCUAUAAACGAGCCGAGAGAGCAAUGAAAGUCGAAGCCUGUAAGAAAUUUCAGAGAAACCUGAGAACUCUCUAAGCGAGAUUUUAUUUCAUGGAACGUGAAAUACAGGCCUUGGAGGAGUAACUACAUAUAUUAAGAGACUAUAAUUCAGAAAAAUCUUAAGACCAAGAAAUUCCAAUUGAAGGAAGAAAAUCCAACACACAGUCAGUAUAGGACAACAUGGAAGAACUAACUAGCCACUUGGAAUAGAGAAGAAAAAUGACGUUUCAAGAGAAGCUUGAUAACUACACAUUUAUAAAAAAUUUCAAUAUGCAGAAGUGUACAAAGUUCAUAUACUGUACGAAAAUAUCGAGAAUCAUGCUCAAAAUAUCAAAAGCGAAGUAGCUGUCGUAUUAUUUCAAAUGAUACGGAUACAAAAUUCUACUUUGGUUCCACUCCUUUACACCUGUUCGUAAAGAUACAAAUUUACUUAAAAAUCCACAGUCCAUUGGGUUGGCAACUAAGUGAUUGAGGAUUUUGUCAUUAGAUGGUAUUGAUACUAAUAAUAAUAAUACAAAUUCCAUAUAG